CGGAGGGAUCAUUAAAGAGUUCUAUAACUCCCAAACCCAUGUGAACAUACCUAACGUUGCCUCGGCAGGUCGCACCUACCUUGUAGCACCCUACCCUGUAGGGCCUACCCGGGAGGUGCGGGUAAGCCUGCCGGCGGCCCACCAAACUCUGUUUGAUAUUGAAUUCUGAACCUAUAACUAAAUAAGUUAAAACUUUCAACAACGGAUCUCUUGGUUCUGGCAUCGAUGAAGAACGCAGCGAAAUGCGAUAAGUAAUGUGAAUUGCAGAAUUCAGUGAAUCAUCGAAUCUUUGAACGCAUAUUGCGCCCAUUAGUAUUCUAGUGGGCAGGACCGUUCGAGCGUCAUUUCAACCCUUAAGCCUUCGUUGCUUAGUGUUGGGAGCCUACGGCAACGUAGCUCCUCAAAGUUAGUGGCGGAGUUGGUUCACACUCUAGACGUAGUAAUUUUUUAUCUCGCCUAUUAGUUGGACUAAUCCCCUGCCGUAAAACCCCUAAUUUAUCAAGGUUGACCUCGAAUCGGUUCAGACAAACUCGCUAAAUUGAAGCAUCUUAGUCAGCGAAGGAAAAGAAACCAACAGGGAUUGCCCUAGUAACGGCGAGUGAAGCGGCAACAGCUCAAAUUUG
rnacentral:rRNA from 1 species